CCUGCGACUGCAGGUGGUCUGAGGGUGUCGCGAGGUGAGUGAGUAGGUGGAGUUACGCGCAUUCAUUUUCCUCAGGGGGGUCCCAUAUAUCUGAGACCCCCUGCAGACUUGUCUGGAGCUAAAUUCCUGGCUUCCUGGCUUCCUCCUUUGAGGCUGCACACUCACCCCGGUGAGCCAGCCCCUGGGAUGGAAGGGGUGCUAGGACUGAAAUAUCAAACUCCUAGACUUCACUGUGCUCCAAUUCCAGCAGGGUCUGCUCACUAGGAAGAAGACAACCUCACGCAAAGGUUUGGGCCAGCUCCUGUGUGGGCCACUCACGCCCACCCUCACUAGUCCAGGAUUCUCCUUCCCACUUGCCAGGUAGCCCUGUUCCUGGUCACCGUGGUAUGCUUUUCUCCCUUUGUGACAUGGGCCUAUUCUAGAAUCACAGAGCUGGAGGGAGCUUUGGUCUCAUCUAUUCUAACACCUCUUUCAUAUCUGGAGAGACUGAGACCCAGAGAGGUGACAGGAGCUAUUCAAUGAGUUAGCUUCUGAGCCUGGAUAAGAGGCCAGGGUUCCAUUCCCUCCUUGGUGGUCUUUUUAUCGCAUCUUCUCCAGGCUAGAUGUUAACCCUCAGCACACACGAGUUCUAUGAACGUUCAGGCAAAUAAAGACAGACAUAAAGGAAGAUAGACUGAACAAGGCAGAAAGAAUGACUCGGUUUGCUUACACCUGAGCCUACAGCAAUACACCAGAGUGAAAGGCCGGCUUCCUCACUCCUGGACCAGCCAUCACACAUGUGCACUGCCCCGGAUGCUCCUCUCCCAGGUGACAUUAUCAGUUUCAGGUGUUCCAUAAAGCAAUUCGGUGAGUCCAUAUAUUACUCAGUGCUCAUCAAGUGCCUGGCAUAGAGCAGCUAUUUAAGAAAUAUUACUGAACUGACAGAGGGCUGAAGGAGUGCCCCUUUACCUUCGUCGGUCCUGAGGAGGGCUUUUUCAGAAGACUUGCCUUGUCCAGGCACUUCAUUCUCACUAAGUUCUUCCAGUGCAUUGUCAAAUAGGAGUGAUGAGAGAAGACAUCUUUGACUUGUUCUUGAUCUUUGGAGGAAGUCAUUCAGUCUCUUACCAUUAAGUAUGUUAACUGUAAGUUUUUCAAAUAUACCCUUUAAUAUAUUAAGGGUAUAAGAUUUAGGAGUUCACUUCUAUUCCUUGUUUUUUUUUGUUUUUGUUUUUUUCUUUUGAUAAUUUUUAUCAUGAAUGAAUGUGGAAAUAGAGGGAUUUUUUUGCAUCUGUUGAUAUGGCCAUAUGUUUUUUUUCUUGUUUAGUCUGGUAGUCUGAUGAAUUACAUUCAUUUUCAAAUGUUAAACUAGUCUCAGUUUCUUGGAAUAAACCCCA